UACGUGGGUGGCAAGCGUUGUCCGGAUUUACUGGGCGUAAAGAGCGCGCAGGCGGUCGAGUAAGUCGCGUGUGAAAGCCCCCGGCUCAACUGGGGAGGGUCACGCGAUACUGUUCGACUCGAAGGCAGGAGAGGGUAGCGGAAUUCCCGGUGUAGUGGUGAAAUGCGUAGAUAUCGGGAGGAACACCAGUGGCGAAGGCGACUACCUGGCCUGUUCUUGACGCUGAGGCGCGAAAGCUAGGGGAGCAAACGGG
rnacentral:rRNA from 1 species